rnacentral:rRNA from 1 species
AACGCGAAGAACCUUACCUGGGCUUGAACCGCACAGGACCAUCUUUGGAAACAGAGACUUCCCGCAAGGGACCUGUGUAGAGGUGCUGCAUGGCUGUCGUCAGCUCGUGCCGUGAGGUGUUGGGUUAAGUCCCGCAACGAGCGCAACCCUUACUCGUAGUUGCCACCCGCAAGGGGGAACUCUACGAGGACUGCUCCGGAUAACGGAGAGGAAGGUGGGGAUGAGGUCAAGUCAGCAUGGCCUUUAUGUCCAGGGCUACACACGUGUUACAAUGCGCGCUACAAAGCGUUGCAAACCCGCGAGGGGGAGCUAAUCGCAAAAAAGCGCGCUCAGUUCGGAUUGCAGUCUGCAACUCGACUGCAUGAAGCCGGAAUCGCUAGUAAUGGCGCAUCAGAACGGCGCCGUGAAUACGUUCCCGGGCCUUGUA